ACCUGGCUGGCUCAGUUGGUGGAGCAUGCAACUCUUGAUCUCAGGGCUGUGGGUUCGAGUCCCACGUUGGGUG
rnacentral:tRNA from 1 species